rnacentral:rRNA from 3 species
UGAAUUGCAGAAUCCCGUGAACCAUCGAGUCUUUGAACGCAAGUUGCGCCUGAAGCCAUUAGGCUAAGGGCACGUCUGCCUGGGCGUCACGCAUCGCGUCACCCCUCCCCCAAUUUUGGUGGACGGGGUG